GAUUUCAGUUUCCCAAACCUGAGGUGAUCUGUCAGCUGGAGAACUGGGACGAGCAAUGGAUCCUGGAUCUACCGAGAGCUGGGAAUAGGAAGGCUUCCGGUAGUGCUUGCCCAGGCGUACUCUCGCUCUGUCGCCAGGCUGUCUUAGCCUCCUGAGUAGCUUGGACUACAGGCGCGCGCCACCAUGCCCAGCUACUUUUGGUAUUUUAGUACAGACGGGGUUUCACCAUGUUGGUCAGGCUGGUCUGGAACUCCUGACCUCGUGAUCCGCCUGCCCCGGCCUCCCAAAGUGCUGGGAUUACAGGCGUGAGCCACUGCGCCCAGUUGGAAAAAGUUUUGUUUUUUUUUAAAACUAAAUGCUUCCAUGUACAUCAGAUGUUAACGACUUUGAUCCUAACAAA
rnacentral:sRNA from 1 species